rnacentral:RNase_P_RNA from 1 species
GAAGCCGGUCAGACAGUCGCUGCCUGGUGACAGGGAGAGGAAAGUCCGGGCUCCACAGAGCAGGAUGCCGGUUAACGGCCGGCCGCCGUGAGGUGAGGAACAGGGCCACAGAGACGAGCGUAUUAAGUUACGGUGAAACGCGGUAACCUCCAUCCGGAGCAAGAUCAAAUAGGCAGAUGAUGACGCUGCUCGCCGAGUCUGCGGGUAGAUCGCUCGAGCACAC